rnacentral:rRNA from 1 species
UACGUAGGGUGCAGGCGUUAAUCGGAAUUACUGGGCGUAAAGCGUGCGCAGGCGGCUCCUUAAGUCAGAUGUGAAAGCCCCGGGCUUAACCUGGGAACUGCGUUUGAAACUGGGGAGCUAGAGUGUAGAAGAGGGGGGUGGAAUUCCAGGUGUAGCAGUGAAAUGCGUAGAGAUCUGGAGGAACACCGAUGGCGAAGGCAGCCCCCUGGGCUAACACUGACGCUCAUGCACGAAAGCUGGGGGAGCAAACCGG